AACAAUUAAAAACAAACUCUCUUUUCCAUUUCCAAUUUUAAAUUACUUAUUUUCUGGACUUCCUCAUACCUCCCUCUUUUGUAUUCCAAUCCACAUUAUUUGUCCAGCAGUUUCUUUUCCACUUUUUUAAUCCCAAUCUUUAAUUUAAUAAAAUGUUAAAAUAUAUAACUUCAACUUUUUUAAACCUAAUCCUUGAUCUUAAUAUCAUAUAACGUUAAAAUUUUCCCUUUUAAUAUCAAAUUUCCAUUUCUUUAAACAUCUUUAAUCUUGAUCUUUAAUCUUAAUCUAUCAUUAACUUUAACCUGUGCAGCUGGAAACCACUUACUUUCAGUCCAACAUCCCUUUAACAUUCCUUAAUUUUGCAAUGUUUCUGAAGAUAGUCUUUGAAUUUCUUCCAGUCUUCCUCCAUCGACUCUUCUCCCUGGUCACGGAUUCUACCAGUCAUUUCCGCCAAUUCCAUAUAGUCCAUAAGUUUCAUCUGCCAUUCCUCCAGUGUGGGAAGUUCUUGUGUCUUCCAAUACUUUGCGAUGAGUAUUCUUGCUGCUGUUGUUGCAUACAUAAAGAAAGUUCUAUCCUUUUUUAACACCAUUUGGCCGGCUACGCCCAGGAGAAAGGCCUCUGGUUUCUUAGGGAAGGUAUACUUAAAUACCUUCUUUAAUUCAUUAUAUAUCAUUUCCCAGAAAGCCUUAAUCUUUGGGCACGUCCACCAAAGGUGAAAAAAUGUACCUUCAGUUUCUUUACAUUUCCAACAUUUGUUAUCGGGCAAGUGAUAGAUUUUUGCAAGCUUGACUGGGGUUAUGUACCACCUGUAUAUCAUUUUCAUAAUAUUCUCUCUUAAGGCAUUACAUGCCGUAAAUUUCAUACCUGUGGUCCAUAACUGUUCCCAGUCAGCAAACAUAAUGUUAUGUCCAACGUCCUGUGCCCAUUUAAUCAUAGCCGAUUUUACCGUUUCAUCUUGAGUAUUCCAUUUCAGCAGCAAGUUAUACAUUCUUGACAAAUUCUUAGUCUUGGGUUCUAACAAUUCUGUUUCUAAUUUGGAUCUUUCCACCUGGAAGCCAAUUUUCCUGUCCAAUUUAAAUACCUCCAUUAUCUGAUAAUAAUGAAGCC
rnacentral:lncRNA from 1 species